rnacentral:rRNA from 1 species
CUACGGGUGGCUCCAGUGGGGAAUAUUGCACAAUGGGCGCAAGCCUGAUGCAGCCAUGCCGCGUGUAUGAAGAAGGCCUUCGGGUUGUAAAGUACUUUCAGCGGGGAGGAAGGGAGUAAAGUUAAUACCUUUGCUCAUUGACGUUACCCGCAGAAGAAGCACCGGCUAACUCCGUGCCAGCAGCCGCGGUAAUAGCGGAGGGUGCAAGCGUUAAUCGGAAUUACUGGGCGUAAAGCGCACGCGGGCGGUUUGUUAAGUCAGAUGUGAAAUCCCCGGGCUCAACCUGGGAACUGCAUCUGAUACUGGCAAGCUUGAGUCUCGUAGAGGGGGGUAGAAUUCCAGGUGUAGCGGUGAAAUGCGUAGAGAUCUGGAGGAAUACCGGUGGCGAAGGCGGCCCCCUGGACGAAGACUGACGCUCAGGUGCGAAAGCGUGGGGAGCAAACAGGAUUAGAUACCCUCGUAGUC